UGCCAGCAGCCGCGGUAAUACGGAGGGGGUUAGCGUUGUUCGGAAUUACUGGGCGUGAAGCGUACGUAGGCUGAUUAGUAAGUUGGGGGUGAAAUCCCAGGGCUCAACCCUGGAACUGCCUCCAGAACUGCUAGUCUUGAGUUCGAGAGAGGUGAGUGGAAUUCCAAGUGUAGAGGUGAAAUUCGUAGAUAUUUGGAGGAACACCAGUGGCGAAGGCGGCUCACUGGCUCGAUACUGACGCUGAGGUACGAAAGUGUGGGGAGCAAACAGGAUUAGAUA
rnacentral:rRNA from 1 species